AUCAGAAGUAAUUUGUGUCUCCCGAUGUCUCCUCUUAAUACAUGCAUUAUUUUUAUCGGUUUCUUGCUGGCUGGAAGUGAAAUCAAACUAGGAUUGGCAAGCAACACAGAAAUCCUGGCCAUCCCCAGUAGA